GGGUUGUGAGGUUAAGUGACUAAGCGUACACGGUGGAUGCCUAGGCAGUCAGAGGCGAUGAAGGGCGUGCUAAUCUGCGAAAAGCGUCGGUAAGGUGAUAUGAACCGUUAYAACCGGCGAUACCCGAAUGGGGAAACCCAGUGUGUUUCGACACACUAUCAUGUCAUGAAUACAUAGUGGCAUGAGGCGAACCGGGGGAACUGAAA
rnacentral:rRNA from 1 species